rnacentral:rRNA from 1 species
GUUGGCUUAGAAGCAGCCACCCUUGAAAGAGUGCGUAAUAGCUCACUGGUCAAGUGAUUCCGCGCCGACAAUGUAACGGGGCUCAAGCACGCCACCGAAGUUGUGGCAUUGACAUUAUUGGUAGGCCUUCGUGGUCCAGCCGUGUUGAUGGGUAGGAGAGCGUCGUGUGGCCAGCGAAGCGGCGGUGUGAACCAGCCGUGGAGGCUACACGAGUGAGAAUGCAGGCAUGAGUAGCGAAUGACGUGUGAGAAACACGUCCUCCGAAAGACCAAGGGUUCCAGGGUCAAGCUAAUCUUCCCUGGGUAAGUCGGGACCUAAGGCGAGGCCGACAGGCGUAGUCGAUGGACAACGGGUUGAUAUUCCCGUACCGGCGAAGAAC